rnacentral:rRNA from 1 species
AUUGAACGCUGGCGGCAUGCCUUACACAUGCAAGUCGAACGGCAGCACGGGAGCAAUCCUGGUGGCGAGUGGCGAACGGGUGAGUAAUAUAUCGGAACGUGCCCGGUCGUGGGGAUAACGUAGCGAAAGCUACGCUAAUACCGCAUACGAUCUACGGAUGAAAGCGGGGGAUCGCAAGACCUCGCGCGAUUGGAGCGGCCGAUAUCAGAUUAGGUAGUUGGUGAGGUAAAGGCUCACCAAGCCGACGAUCUGUAGCUGGUCUGAGAGGACGACCAGCCACACUGGGACUGAGACACGGCCCAGACUCCUACGGGAGGCAGCAGUGGGAAUAUUGGACAAUGGGCGAAAGCCUGAUCCAGCAAUGCCGCGUGAGUGAUGAAGGCCUUAGGGUUGUAAAGCUCUUUUACCCGAGAUGAUAAUGACAGUAUCGGGAGAAUAAGCUCCGGCUAACUCCGUGCCAGCAGCCGCGGUAA